AAAAGCUUGCUUUCUUUGCUGGCGACCGGCGCACGGGUGAGUAACACGUAUCCAACCUACCCUUUACUCGGGGAUAGCCUUUCGAAAGAAAGAUUAAUACCCGAUAGCAUAAUGAUUCCGCAUGGUUUCAUUAUUAAAGGAUUCCGGUAAAGGAUGGGGAUGCGUUCCAUUAGGUUGUUGGUGGGGUAACGGCCCACCAAGCCUUCGAUGGAUAGGGGUUCUGAGAGGAAGGUCCCCCACAUUGGAACUGAGACACGGUCCAAACUCCUACGGGAGGCAGCAUG
rnacentral:rRNA from 1 species